rnacentral:rRNA from 1 species
UACGUAGGGUGCAAGCGUUAAUCGGAAUUACUGGGCGUAAAGCGUGCGUAGGCGGUUGCGCAAGACAGGUGUGAAAUCCCCGGGCUUAACCUGGGAAUUGCACUUGUGACUGUGCGGCUGGAGUGCGGCAGAGGGGGAUGGAAUUCCGCGUGUAGCAGUGAAAUGCGUAGAUAUGCGGAGGAACACCGAUGGCGAAGGCAGUCCCCUGGGCCUGCACUGACGCUCAUGCACGAAAGCGUGGGGAGCAAACAGGG